AGCGAACGCUGGCGGCAGGCCUAACACAUGCAAGUCGAGCGCCCGUAGCAAUACGGGAGCGGCAGACGGGUGAGUAACACGUGGGAACGUACCCUUCGGUUCGGAAUAACCCAGGGAAACUUGGAUUAAUACCGGAUACGUCCGUAAGGAGAAAGAUUUGAUCGCCGAAGGAUCGGCCCGCGUCCGAUUAGCUUGUUGGUGGGGGAAUGGCCCACCAAGGCUACGAUCGGUAGCUGGUCUGAGAGGAUGAUCAGCCACACUGGGACUGAGACACGGCCGAGAAUCCUGCGGGAGGCAGCAGCGGUGAAUAUUGGACAAUGGGCGCAAGCCUGAGCCAGCCAUGCCGCGUGGGUGAUGAAGGCCCUAGGGUUGUAAAGCCCUUUCGGCGGGGAAGAUAAUGACGGUACCCGCAGAAGAAGCCCCGGCUAACUUCGUGCCAGCAGCCGCCGUAAAAC
rnacentral:rRNA from 1 species